CCAGGUUAAGAGUUAGGCAUCUCCUUGAGAUGUCCUUAUUUGCUUAGGUCCUGCAUGAAAGCACAUAGUGCCCUAGCUCUUUUGAAAAGCAGGAAAAUCCUGAAAGAAAGCAACACAGAGCUUUCUCCAUUGUGAGGUAGUGAGGAGGGGAUUAGGACACUAGGUGAGAAAGGACAGGCCUAGACAAUGAAGCAAGGGGCGAGUGGGUGGAUGGGUAAAACCACCUGCUCCUCAAAACAGCCAGGCUCUGAGAUGAAGCAGGAAUCUGCACUUAAACCGAGGCUGGAUCCAUCCUAGGGAUUCAAGCCUGUGUUGUCAAGCGAAAACAGAAAAGAGAAGGGAAUUCCACCUUUGCCCACUGAGAACACAUCUAUGCUGAGAACACAUCUACCCAACUCCUCUGUCACAACCCCUGUGAGAAGGUUCUGCCAUCUCCCAGCCCUGAAGAUUGUGAGCUCCCUGAUGGCCCUGGGCCUCCCUCCCGACAGCUGAGGCCCUUCCUGGAUCUCUACACGUCACCAAGCUAAGCCAGUGUUCCAAAAUAGUCUCCUGAACAAUGAUGACAACUGCACAGUUAUUUUGGAAGAACUUCCUGGCAGUGAUGGCAGUGGAACAUUGGAAACAGAGAUGAACAGGAGGUGGGAAGAGGAGGCUAAGUACAUGUAGGCCUAAAAGUCUCUGCCUUGGGAGAUUUUUAACAGUCCUGGAUGGAGCAGAUCCCCUCACUGAGACUUCCAAAGAUUUUUAUCAACAAUUUUAUGUCACUCCCACUAACUCUUUGAAGGUAAAUGGCAGAAUUAAUUUUCCCGUUUAAAAAACAGAAACACAAAGACCCAGUGGAGUCUGCAUUUUCUAGUUUUAGUCAGCCAUUCUGGAAGCUGCGUCCUGGUAACCGCAGUGUCCCAGCUGUGAACUCCGGGCAAGUGUACAGCAUCAUCUUCCAUUCACCAUGUGGUUACUGCACUUCUCAUACAAACUACCUGCGUUACUCAGUUAUCCAGUAUCAAGGACUAUGCCACACUCCUUAGAGCAGAUGCAGGGCACUUAGAGAUUAAUAAAACAGGCCGAGCACAGCCUGUAACCCCAGCACUUUGGGAGCCUGAGAUGGAAGAACUGCUUGAGCCCAGGAGUUCAAGACCAGCCUCGGC
rnacentral:lncRNA from 1 species